AUUGACUUUCAUCCAAAACUUUCAAGGAAAAGACUGAUGGGACUUUUGUCUUCUCCAAGAAGUGUGAGUCUGGGACUUUGGCUGGUCUGUGCCUGCCCAGAUCCUUUUGACUGUUGAGCUUUCUGCACAAGGGAGCCAGUUUCUUAGAAAAUAGAUAGCUAUGCAGAAGGGCAAGGAAAAUGGAGUUCUUGAUCCUGCUGAUGGCCUAUGUGAGAAAUACUGUGAAGAUUACUACUCUGAUCCUAUAAAUAAUAAAUA